rnacentral:misc_RNA from 1 species
UGGCAAAAGAGAGAGAAAGAGAGAGAGAUAGAGAAAGAGAGUGAGAGCGAAUGAGAGAGAGGCGCGGGAAGGGACGCCAAGGAGAGGCACAGUGGCGGCCGUCCUCUCGCCAGGCCUCAUGUCUAGCACACCGAGAUAACUAGUCGCCAAGGAUCGCAGUCAUGGAGGAGUUACUGUCGUUGAAGUGGAACAACCACCGAACCACUUUCAUCCACAUAUUGGGGGUUCUCAGGGACAAGCAAGCGUACACAGAUGUGACUCUAGCAUGUGACGGCAAAUUCUACAGUGUGCACAAAUUGGUGCUCUCAACAUGCAGUGAUUAUUUUUGUGCCAUGUUUGACAAAACUGCUUGUAAGAGCCCUGUUAUAGUGUUGAAAGACAUUAAAAGUGAGGACCUGGAGGCCUUGCUAGAUUAUAUGUACCUUGGUGAAGUGAAUGUGAGACAGAGUGACUUGGCGUCUUUGAUUAAGGCAGCGGAAAACCUUAGAAUCAAGGGCCUUGCAGUACCUGAUGAUGAACCUCCUAACAAAAGCAGUGGAGGUGCACUUCCUUCUAGGGCAGAACCAAGGAGGGAUGGAGGGAGUGGUAGCCCUCCAGCCAAGAGGAAACGAAGAGAAGAGGUGGAGGAUGGGCGUGAGGAUGUGAGACCCCCUCCCACCCAACCUGGUAGCCUCCACACGCCCCCACCUUCCAGACCAAAGAGCCCUGUUAGUCAGCGGCUGAGUCCCUCCCCACACAGAACCUCUCAGGAGUCCCCAGCGACUGAAGAUCGCACCAGCCGUCCCCUUUCUUCACCAGUAGAGGCCGCGGCGGGCCCCCACACAGCCUCCCAACCUCCUGGCCAGUCUGCGGUAGGCCAGUCAGUCUCCAAUCAGUACCGGUCGGAUGACACACCCUCCUUUGUGAAGGUGGAGAUGGAGGAAGACCACACGGAGGACCUUCAGGGGGACUCGUACAACCUGGGUCCUGAUGGCUACAAGGAGGAGGGAGAUGACUCGGGUGGUACCAUGAAUAACGAUUUACCAGAGUUCCUACAAGCGGCAGCCUCAGGCUCCUUGGCCAGUAGCUCCGCCUCCUUUCCUCACCCCUCCUUUGCAGGACCAUCUGGCUACCAGCCGGGUGACCUGGCUGGGUGGCAGGGUGAUGGCUCCUCCAUAGGGUUUCCUCCUCAUCUUAACUUUAGCACCUCAGAAAGUUCUAGUCAACAGAAUGCACCUGGGGGCACGGGGAUAGGUGAAGUCGGUGCUAUUGGAGGUUUGAGUCUUUGUAGACUGAGCGCAGUUGUGAGUUCCAACAUCAAGAAACACUUUUGUUCCCACUGUGGCAAGGGAUUUCAGUCCCCGAAGGACCUGCGACGACAUGUCAUGACCCACACUGGGGAGAAGCCAUAUCUCUGCCCUUACUGCAAUCACAGAACCAGUCAGAAGAGCAACUUGAAGUCUCACAUGAUGUGUGUACAUAAUAAAGACCCCUUGUGAAGCAACCCAAUGUUAGCAAAGAGACAGACAACAAACAGCUUGAGUCAACCAGGCCAGAGGGCAUGGGUGUUCGUGAAAUGGAAAGUUUGAGUGACAGUAGACUGAGAGUCCUCUUGGGUUCCCACACCAAGAGACACAUUUGCUCCCACUGUGGCAAGAGCUUUCAGUCCCCCAAGGACCUACGAAGACACAUUCUCACCC